CCAGGUAGCCGCGGACACACAUCUCCAUGAAUCACUUGAAAGGUGUGGCAUCCAUCUUGCCCUCCACGAUCAUCACCAUCUCGUCCACCAGCUUGAUGUCGGGUUCCCAGCCGAAACUACUGCCCAGCGAGCUUCUCAGACCCGCGGGCACUUGCAUAUUUAUUGUAGCACUACUCACAAUAGCCAAGAUAUGGAAUCAACCCAAGUGUCCAUCAGCAGAUGAACGGAUAAAGAUAGAGGUGGAGUCCCCCUACGUUGCCCAGACUGGUCUUGAACUCCAGGACUCAAGGGAUCCUCCCGCUAUGGCCUCCCAAAGUGUUGGGAUUACAGUUCUGGUGGCUGGAAUUUCAAGAUCAGAGUGCCAGCAGGUGCAGGUUCUAGUGAGGGUCUUCUUCCUGGUUGCAGACACUGACUUCCUAUAUCACCAAAUUAUGGAAAGAAAAAAGUGUUUUGCUUGCUGUACUCACAGAUGA
rnacentral:lncRNA from 1 species